rnacentral:rRNA from 1 species
AUGACCUCUCAGAAGACAUCAUGGCCGGAGUUGGUGUACAUGCUGGCGACGCCAGCAGUCAUGACCAUCAAUAGCGAGAGACCGGACUUGACGACGGAGGUACUCCAGAUUGGUACCAGCCCAAGCCCACCGGAGUUCGACUCGACACGUGUUUGCAUCUUCCUCGACCCACGAGACAAGCUUGGCCUUGUUGCAGCCGUCCCCGUCGUUGGCUAG